AGAGUUUGAUCCUGGCUCAGAGCGAACGCUGGCGGCAGGCCUAAUACAUGCAAGUCGAACGCACCUUCGGGUGAGUGGCGGACGGGUGAGUAACACGUGGGAACGUGCCCUUUGGUUCGGAAUAAUCCGGGGAAACCUGGCCUAAUACCGAAUGUGCCCUUCGGGGGAAAGAUUUAUCGCCAUUGGAGCGGCCCGCGUCUGAUUAGCUAGUUGGUGGGGUAAAGGCCCACCAAGGCUACGAUCAGUAGCUGGUCUGAGAGGAUGAUCAGCCACACUGGGACUGAGACACGGCCCAGACUCCUACGGGAGGCAGCAGUAGGGAAUCUUGCGCAAUGGGCGAAAGCCUGACGCAGCCAUGCCGCGUGAAUGAUGAAGGUCUUAGGAUUGUAAAAUUCUUUCAGCGGGGAAGAUAAUGACGGUACCCGCAGAAGAAGCUCCGGCUAACUUCGUGCCAGCAGCCGCGGUAAUACGAAGGGGGCUAGCGUUGCUCGGAAUUACUGGGCGUAAAGGGCGCGUAGGCGGGUGUUUAAGUCAGAGGUCAAAUCCCAGAGCUCAACUCUGGAACUGCCUUUGAUACUGGACACCUAGAGUUCGGGAGAGGUGUGUGGAACUCCGAGUGUAGAGGUGAAAUUCGUAGAUAUUCGGAAGAACACCAGUGGCGAAGGCGACACACUGGCCCGAUACUGACGCUGAGGCGCGAAAGCGUGGGGAGCAAACAGGAUUAGAUACCCCUGUAGUCC
rnacentral:rRNA from 1 species